GUCAUUGCCGGGAGCUCAGAGUGUCCGUCUGUCUGUCCCCAGGUCCCUGGAGGAGUCCGUGGGGAAGCCCCUGUACCUGAUAUUCCGGAACCUGUGCCAGAUGCAGGAGGACAACAGUGGCUUCUCGCUGCUGCUGGACCUGCUCUCGGAGCUCUACCAGAAGCAGCCCAAGAUCGGGUAUCACCUGCUCUACUACCUGAGGGCCAGCAAGGCGGCGCUGGGCAGGAUGGCGCUCU